CAGUCGCCGCGGUAAUACGAGGGGGGCAAGCGUUGUUCGGAAUUAUUGGGCGUAAAGGGCGCGUAGGCGGUUUGGCAAGUUUGGUGUGAAAUCUUCGGGCUCAACCUAGGAAUUGCAUUUGAUACUGUUUGGCUUGAGUUCGGGAGAGGUGAGUGGAAUUCCCAGUGUAGCAGUGAAAUGCGUAGAGAUGUGGAGGAAUACCGAUGGCGAAGGCAGCCCCCUGGGCCAAUACUGACGCUCAUGCACGAAAGCGUGGGAGCAAACAGGAUUAGAUACCCGCGUAGUCCCUGUCUCUUAUACA
rnacentral:rRNA from 1 species